UCUCCGUUGGUAAACCAGCGGAGGGAUCAUUACCGAGUUUACAACUCCCAAACCCAAUGUGAACCAUACCAAACUGUUGCCUCGGCGGGGUCACGCCCCGGGUGCGUCGCAGCCCCGGAACCAGGCGCCCGCCGGAGGGACCAACCAAACUCUUUCUGUAGUCCCCUCGCGGACGUUAUUUUUACAGCUCUGAGCAAAAAUUCAAAAUGAAUCAAAACUUUCAACAACGGAUCUCUUGGUUCUG
rnacentral:misc_RNA from 1 species